rnacentral:lncRNA from 1 species
CUCCUUCCAGCUGACGGGCCUCUGCGGCGUCUGAGAGCCCGAGACGGCGGAGCGGAGCAGGCCGGUGCCGGGGAGGGUCAGGACGGGGAGAGACGCGGAGGGAAGACGGGCAGUGCGCGACCACCGGAGGGUUCAGGCCCGGGGCUGCAUGGCGAAACGGAGUCCAGAGGCGGAACAGGAAGUGUGUGAGGUCACACAUGAAGAGAGAGUGACGGACACACCAACACGAAGAGUUGGACGACCCGCUCGAAAACGCAAAACACCAGGAGAAACUACAGUUGCAGCAGGCGGAAGUUUGAAGAGUGUGAGAGAGAGAGAGACAGAUACAGAGGGAGGUAGAGAGAGAAAGACGAGGUGCUGUAGCCUGCAGGUCUCUGAUGAU